GAGGGUGUAGCUCAGUCAUAGAGCGCAUGCCUAGCACGCACGAGGUCCUGGGUUCAGUUCCCAGUACCUCUG
rnacentral:tRNA from 1 species